GAGCAGCUUAAAAGUGGCAUCUUACAGUGGGUAAAUUGUAACAAUGGUUCAAACACUGUCGACUCAUUGUUUCUGUAUGACUUAAGACAAAAACAAAAGG